UUUUUAACCAAGCUGAUUUCCAAGGGUAAAAGGUAAAAUAGUGUGUACUUGGGGAAGAUUUAACCUGAGCUGGUAAAAAGAAGCAUAGGAGGUUUUCAUGCAGGUCCCCACAUCUGUAGCCUAAAGUUCAGAGUGGGGAAGGAACCUUGACAAUAGCCCUAGUCA